rnacentral:rRNA from 1 species
GACGAACGCUGGCGGCGUGCCUAACACAUGCAAGUCGAGCGAGUGGAGUUCUUCGGAACAAAGCUAGCGGCGGACGGGUGAGUAACACGUGGGCAACCUGCCUCAUAGAGGGGAAUAGCCUCCCGAAAGGGAGAUUAAUACCGCAUAAGAUUGUAGCAUCGCAUGAAGUAGCAAUUAAAGGAGCAAUCCGCUAUGAGAUGGGCCCGCGGCGCAUUAGCUAGUUGGUGAGGUAACGGCUCACCAAGGCGACGAUGCGUAGCCGACCUGAGAGGGUGAUCGGCCACAUUGGGACUGAGACACGGCCCAGACUCCUACGGGAGGCAGCAGUGGGGAAUAUUGCACAAUGGGGGAAACCCUGAUGCAGCAACGCCGCGUGAGUGAUGACGGCCUUCGGGUUGUAAAGCUCUGUCUUCAGGGACGAUAAUGACGGUACCUGAGGAGGAAGCCACGGCUAACUACGUGCCAGCCGCCGCAGUAA